AUGCCCCCACAACGGCUUCCUGGCGUGGCGGGUUCACCCUAACGGAGCA
rfam:Donghicola sp. JL3646 contig5, whole genome shotgun sequence.